GUCGCUGCGUGUGUGUGUGUGAGAGAACUUUUGAUGAUCGCCCUACUAACAAUUGCAUGCAGGGCUAUUCUCUGUGAGAUCUCUCUUCUUCCAACUGUAUCCUCACGUACACACACAUUAUCUUCUGUCUGGCACUGCUUGCCCUCCUUACCCUCCUUUUCUUUGAACCUCCUACCUCUGUUGGAUCAUUCCCUCCUCCUUCGUCCUGCCCCUCUGAGUUGAGGAUUUAUCUCUACGGUGGUCAUGUCCUCCUUGCCUCGUUCGUCCUGUUGAUCGCCCCCUGGUCGUCCCUCGCCGCUCCCUGCUUCCGACCCCUUCCACCUCUCUCUCGCCCAUUUUUCCACCAUGGGCGCCGUUUUUGCCAGUUUGUUUAAUGGCUCAGUGGAGGCGCCAUUCCAAGGGGCGCAGAUCAUCAAAGUUCCAGCGGCUCAUCAUGAAUUCGGAGCAAACCUUAUCGACCAACGGGUUAUACUCUUGCCUUUCCUCUGUUGCUCUUCUCGAUGCCUGCAACAACCAAUUCACCUUUUCGUACUUAUAUCCUGGGAAUUAUGUUCGAUGAGAUUGGUGGCUUAAAACGUAUCCGUCCGUUGUUGACCACAUCAAGUGGCCUGUAGUUGAUGGUGUUGAGACUUAUGUGACCUCAGAUGAUGAUGCUUAUUGGAAGUAUUUUGUAGGACGGUCGUAUGAGCGUUCGAAUGAAGUAUCAAGUAUGACUUCACCGAUAGAUUCUCAAUAAAAGUGAAUGCAAAGCUUACAAAUGAACUGCACUUUUCACAAGGAAUGUUCCAUUUUGACUACAAGAUUGGUUCCAUUACCUUACAUCGUUUUGCGCCAUGUCGUCGACCUGGUUUCUGGAGAAAGUGAAGUUGCUUUUUGGUGGACGAGGCCACUGUAUCAUAGUAUAACGCCAACAGCGGCUCUAGGAGGUGAAGUGUUUCGGUUGAGCCAUCAGUAGAAGUUGGCCAUUUGGAUUUGCUGGCUGAUACAACACAGACAAAGUGGGCAAUUUGCAAGCACUGCCAUUGUUUUGUUGACCUAUGUUCAACAAGUGUCAAACAAGGAGGCGACCACUGGUAUUGGAUACGACUGCCUCCUUUGUCAGGUGAGAUGCUUUUUAACAUAUUUGUCUAUGAUAUGGGCUGUAUCAUUUAGACGGUGUAUGGAAAGCAGAAGCAGAGUGUGGCACCCAGUUGCUGUUGAUCUUCUGUGGCCAUUUUGCAUGGGAACACCCGUCAAAAAGCAAAAAUUCAUCCCAAACCUAGUCACUCGCAAAUUUUGUUUUUGUUUCCAUAUUUUAUAAUUUCUGAAUUUUUAUGAUGUUGUCAAACAUAGCGUGCAUGUUCGAGUUCCAGUGAAAUUUCGCAACUUCAAGGGGUUUUUUUUUUAAUUUAGAAAGAAGAAAAAAAAAGAAUCUUUUGCUCAGAACCGAAUCGCUUGUACUGGCGAGGUAGCUUUAGCUGCAGCUCUAAGCCUGACCAAAGAGAAAGCUGGGCAAAUUCCAAUAGCGUCAUCUAUUAUCUGAUUCUCUUUCUGGUGUCCGUUAAGCCGGAGCUAUUCGAAGGAGUCGUUGAUUGAGGUAGGGAGCAAGAAAGGGGGCUUCUAUGAGGAGGCGGGAAGAGAGCGUUUUGAGCGAAUCUGCGAGGAUUGAGCUUGAAACCGACGUCGCCGCUAGGGGCUGGGGAUCGUCGAUGGAAUCACCGACAUUUUUUGAUGCGCUAUUCAACAAGUUUUUGCCAUCAAACAACGAGGACGAUGAGGCGUGGUCGGUGGUGCACAUGUAUGGGUGCGAUUAGUUCCGGAUGUUUGAAUUCAAGGUGAGGCGAUGCAUGAGGGAGACAAGCCACGAUUGGACGGAUUGCCCGUUUGCCCAACCAGGCGAGAAAGUUAGGCGUCACGAUCUGCAACGGCACCAUUACUCGAGGAUGGCAUGUCCGGACUUUCGGAAGGAGAGCUGUCGAAGAGGCAAUGCAUGCGAGUUGGCGCACGGAGUGUUUGAAUGUUGGAUGCAUCCGGCUCGGUAUCAGACACAACCGUACAAGGAUGGGCGGAAUUGCCCUCGUCCGGUGUAUUUUUUCAUGCACACGCCAGAGCAAUUACGACUGCUGCCCGCGACGGCAUAAGCAACGACUAUGGGAGGUCGGAGUGGAGGGGGUUACGACGAGUCGCCGCAAGCUAGUGUAGCGGUGAACUACGACGGGGUGUUUGGGUACGAGAGCUUGUCUUACGACGGAGCAUCGGGAGGUCACAAUUGAGCCAUUUGUCGGGGUACUCGAGCUUGGCCCACUUCAGUGCAGGGUGUACACAGCAACUAUCAAAGCAUUGAAAUAAGAUCCAAUUGUUAUAUAAAUCCAAAAGAAAAAUAAAAUAAAAAUACCUACUAAAACCAUUUUUAUAGUUAA